ensembl:lncRNA
UAUUUUUGGACCAAAAUGUAUUUUCGAUGCUUCAAAAAAUUCUAACGGACCCUCUGAUGUCACAUGGACUACUUUGAAGAUGUUUUUAUUACCUUUCUGGACGUGGACAGUAUACCGUACAUACAUUCUCAAUGGAGGGACUGAAAGCUCUCGGACUAAAUCUAAAAUAUCUUAAACUGUGUUCCGAAGAUGAACGGAGGUCUCACGGGUUUGGAACGACAUGAGGGGUGAUGCUAACUUCUGGGCUGGCCAACACAAAUACAUCACCGCUGCAGCAAUGUAUCACAAAUAAAACCAAGAGAUGUUCUGUUAAAGAGGCUCCCACUCAUGGUCAGGAUGAUGUACGCAAGAAUAUAUUUUAAAUAACAAGUAAACCGAGAGCAGUGAACAAAGAAAACUUUCCCAAAAUCCAGUCCCUGUGAUUUAUGUUAAAACCAUACAUCUCUAAGACAGUUUAUUUCAGGGGCUUUCAAUCCUUCCAAACAUCUCCGAGCCAAGAGUCUUACUGUCGAACACAAGCAGCUGUUUAGAGAAAAGCAGGAUAGCCAGAGGCACAACAAGAGAAUGCAAAUCUCACAAAAACACUGGCACAGCACCUAGACAAACAUCUGUGAUGGGGUGCUGUCACACUGCGUCUGUGCAGUGGAGGAGGAAUCCCAACUCCUUUAAAAUUGUCUCUGUUUUAGGCUCAUCUUGCUCCGGCUAAUCCAUCCUGACAGUGUAGAUUGCUCAUAACAGCUAUGCUAGAGUAUCUGCAAAACAAACAUGCCCUUCUUCAGUCAUUGGAUUGCUAGUCAAACAUCUUGAAAAUGGUGUGAUUCUUGAUUAAGACUCUGGGACAGGAUAAUUAGCCCUGCAGAGAAAAUACCUAGUAACCUUUUGAUGUUUGCAAAUAGCUUGUUUUAUACUCCAGGUUCUCGGUUUUGUAAAGAAACCCUUAUGAUAAUUAUUGUUGGUGAAAUUAUUGAGUCUGAAAUAGAUGGUGAUGCACAAAGCUAUUGUACUUUUUUUCCCCCAGCUGUCUGAACAAUUGCUUAGAUCAGCUGUUUAGACAAAGGUUGGGCACGGAAUCCGCCAAUUAUUGUCUGUUCUCCAACUAAAAAAAACCCCAAAAACAUUAAAUAAUAUUAACUUUCCCCUUUGCCAAAGCUAAAGUUAAGAAGCC